GGCCUUUGGGACUGAUCCAAAACUCACUGAAGCCAGAGGAAGUCUUUCCAGUGGUGUCAGUGUGCUUUGGAUCAGGCCCUAAUCCU
rnacentral:pre_miRNA from 1 species